UUCUACAGUGAACAGGAACACCAGUUAGUAUCGCGCGAAGAACGGGUCCACCGAUUUCGAAUGUAUGCAUACGAUGCGUUGGACCAGGCAGAGGAUCAAACGCUACUUAAAUUUCAAGUGGUGUAGUACACUAAGCGAAAAUCCGUAAAGAAAGAAAUAAAAAAAAAUUCUAGAACGAAUCGUUAAAACUUAAGAAUCGAAUACUCUGCGUAAUGCAACAACGAGACAACAAAGAGAGAAAA